CUGGCAGAGCUCGCAGUAGAUACUGGGAGGGAAUGGUUCCCCAGCUCUCCGAAGAAUCAGUAGCAACUAGUGAAGUAGUGAGGGGUGGGUUCCCUUGGGUUAUUUUCCCAACCUCAGUUGUUCACUUUAAGAUGAUUCGCCCCACUGCUGGGCACGUCCUCAGGAGGAUUUAGAGGCCAACAGUACCGCGCCUUCCCUCAGAUUCUGGAUUUUCACAGGCCACAUUGUUAUUUGCUGCUCCACUGCAUUAUUUUUGGACUGAGGACACAAGGAGAGUUCACACGGUCUUCCUCGUACCUCCCUCUGGCCUGGAAUUCACUAUAUAAACCCAGGAAAAGAUUGAAAAUUUUCAAGAUCUUCCAGAAGAAUCAAUUUUCUGAAACAUUAAGAAUUUAGCAGUUUAAAGCAGAAAUUAAGAUUUCUACAUAAUGGUUAGCUAACUUGACUACCUAAGUGGGAACACCUCAAGACUUAUUUGACCACAAAAACUCCAGUGUCCUCUCUGUUCCAUGACAUGUGAUAUUAAACCUGUUCCAACCAG